CCUACGGGAGGCAGCAGUGGGGAAUAUUGCACAAUGGGGGGAACCCUGAUGCAGCCAUGCCGCGUGUGUGAAGAAGGCCUUCGGGUUGUAAAGUACUUUCAGUUGUGAGGAAAAGUUAGUAGUUAAUACCUGCUAGCCGUGACGUUAACAACAGAAGAAGCACCGGCUAACUCCGUGCCAGCAGCCGCGGUAAUACGGAGGGUGCGAGCGUUAAUCGGAAUUACUGGGCGUAAAGCGCACGCAGGCGGUUUGUUAAGCUAGAUGUGAAAGCCCCGGGCUCAUCCUGGGAUGGUCAUUUAGAACUGGCAGACCAGAGUCUUGGAGAGGGGAGUGGAAUUCCAGGUGUAGCGGUGAAAUGCGUAGAUAUCUGGAGGAACAUCAGUGGCGAAGGCGACUCCCUGGCCAAAGACUGACGCUCAUGUGCGAAAGUGUGGGUAGCGAACAGGAUUAGAUACCCUGGUAGUCCACACCGUAAAUGCUGUCUACUAGCUGUGUGUGUCUUUAAGACGUGCGUAGCGAAGCUAACGCGCUAAGUAGACCGCCUGGGGAGUACGGCCGCAAGGUUAAAACUCAAAUGAAUUGACGGAAUCA
rnacentral:rRNA from 1 species